AACGAACGCUGGCGGCGUGCCUAACACAUGCAAGUCGAGCGCGAAAGGGGGGGCAACUCCCCGAGUAGAGCGGCGCACGGGUGAGUAACGCGUGGGUAACCUACCUCCGGGCGGGGGAUAACGACUCGAAAGGGUCGCUAAUACCGCAUGAGACCACGGGGUCCUCGGAUCCUGGGGCCACAGGCGGCAUCGGCUUGCCGGUGCUGUCACCUGGAGAUGGGCCCGCGUCCGAUUAGCUAGUUGGCAGGGUAACGGCCUACCAAGGCUCCGAUCGGUAGCUGGUCUGAGAGGAUGACCAGCCACACUGGAACUGGAACACGGUCCAGACUCCUACGGGAGGCAGCAGUGAGGAAUAUUGCGCAAUGGGGGAAACCCUGACGCAGCAACGCCGCGUGGGUGAAGAAGGCCUUCGGGUCGUAAAGCCCUUUCGGACGGGACGAACGCUUCGCGGCGACAACCCGCGAAGUCUGACGGUACCGUAGGAAGAAGCACCGGCUAACUCCGUGCCAGCAGCCGCAGUAAAAC
rnacentral:rRNA from 1 species